AGUGAACGCUGGCGGUAGGCCUAACACAUGCAAGUCGAACGGCAGCACAGUAAGAGCUUGCUCUUACGGGUGGCGAGUGGCGGACGGGUGAGGAAUACAUCGGAAUCUACUUUUUCGUGGGGGAUAACGUAGAGAAACUUACGCUAAUACCGCAUACGACCUACGGGUGAAAGCAGGGGAUCUUCGGACCUUGCGCGAUUGAAUGAGCCGAUGUCGGAUUAGCUAGUUGGCGGGGUAAAGGCCCACCAAGGCGACGAUCCGUAGCUGGUCUGAGAGAAUGAUCAGCCACACUGGAACUGAGACACGGUCCAGACUCCUACGGGAGGCAGCAGUGGGGAAUAUUGGACAAAGGGCGCAAGCCUGAUCCAGCCAUACCGCGUGGGUGAAGAAGGCCUUCGGGUUGUAAAGCCCUUUUGUUGGGAAAGAAAAGCAGCAGGUUAAUACCCCGCUGUUCUGACGGUACCCAAAGAAUAAGCACCGGCUAACUUCGUG
rnacentral:rRNA from 1 species